GAAUGCGAGUGCCGUACCGUGAAAGCGGUAUUUCUAGCAAUAGACACAAAGCAAGGUGCUGCAUGGCUGUCGUCAGCUCGUGCCGUGAGGUGUUGGGUUAAGUCCGCAACGAGCGCAACCCCCAUCACUAGUUGCCAUCAGGUAACGCUGGGAACUCUAGUGAAACUGCCGUCGUAAGACGCGAGGAAGGAGGGGAUGAUGUCAAGUCAUCAUGGCCUUUAUGCCCAGGGCUACACACGUGCUACAAUGGGUAGGACAAAGAGUUGCAACACGGUGACGUGAAGCUAAUCUCAAAAACCUACUCUCAGUUCAGAUCGUAGUCUGCAACUCGACUACGUGAAGCUGGAAUCGCUAGUAAUCGUAUAUCAGCAAUGAUACGGUGAAUACGUUCCCGGACCUUGCACACACCGCCCGUCAAGCCAUGAAAGCCGGGUGUACCUAAAGUCGGUAACCGUAAGGAGCUGCCUAGGGUAAAACUGGUAAUUGGGGCUAAGUCGUAACAAGGUAGGCGUAGUGCU
rnacentral:rRNA from 1 species